rnacentral:rRNA from 1 species
CAGCCGUAAACUAUGCGCGUUAGGUGUAUCGGUGACCACGAGUUACCGAGGUGCCGAAGGGAAACCGGUAGAAACGUGCCGCCUGGGAAGUACGGUCGCAAGGCUAGAAACUUAAAGGAAUUGGGCGGGGGAGCACCACAACAGGUGGAGCCUGCGGUUUAAUUGGACUCAACGCCGGGAAGCUCACCGGAUAAGACAGCGGAAUGAUUGCCGGGCUGAAGACUCUGCAUGACUAGCUGAGAGGAGGUGCAUGGCGUAGACGUCU